UCUGGGACAAGCCCUGGAAACGGGGUCUAAUACCGGAUACGACACACGGAGGCAUCUCCUGUGUGUGGAAAGCUCCGGCGGUGAAGGAUGAGCCCGCGGCCUAUCAGCUUGUUGGUGGGGUGAUGGCCUACCAAGGCGACGACGGGUAGCCGGCCUGAGAGGGCGACCGGCCACACUGGGACUGAGACACGGCCCAGACUCCUACGGGAGGCAGCAGUGGGGAAUAUUGCACAAUGGGCGAAAGCCUGAUGCAGCGACGCCGCGUGAGGGAUGACGGCCUUCGGGUUGUAAACCUCUUUCAGCAGGGAAGAAGCGAAAGUGACGGUACCUGCAGAAGAAGCGCCGGCUAACUACGUGCCAGCAGCCGCGGUAAUACGUAGGGCGCAAGCGUUGUCCGGAAUUAUUGGGCGUAAAGAGCUCGUAGGCGGCUUGUCACGUCGGUUGUGAAAGCCCGGGGCUUAACCCCGGGUCUGCAGUCGAUACGGGCAGGCUAGAGUUCGGUAGGGGAGAUCGGAAUUCCUGGUGUAGCGGUGAAAUGCGCAGAUAUCAGGAGGAACACCGGUGGCGAAGGCGGAUCUCUGGGCCGAUACUGACGCUGAGGAGCGAAAGCGUGGGGAGCGAACAGGAUUAGAUACCCUGGUAGUCCACGCCGUAAACGGUGGGCACUAGGUGUGGGCGACAUUCCACGUCGUCCGUGCCGCAGCUAACGCAUUAAGUGCCCCGCCUGG
rnacentral:rRNA from 1 species